GACGAACGCUGGCGGCGUGCUUAACACAUGCAAGUCGAACGGGAUAAUUUGAGAGCUUGCUCUUAGAGAAUCUAGUGGCAAACGGGUGAGUAACACGUAGACAACCUGCCGACAGGAUGGGGACAACAUUCCGAAAGGAAUGCUAAUACCGAAUGAAGCGGAGGAGAGGCAUCUCUCCUCCGUGAAAGAUGGCCUCUGAAUAUGCUAUCACCUGUCGAUGGGUCUGCGUCUGAUUAGCUAGUUGGUGAGGUAACGGCUCACCAAGGCGACGAUCAGUAGCCGGUCUGAGAGGAUGAACGGCCACAUUGGGACUGAGACACGGCCCAGACUCCUACGGGAGGCAGCAGUGGGGAAUCUUCCGCAAUGGGCGCAAGCCUGACGGAGAAACGCCGCGUGAGUGAAGAAGGUCUUCGGAUCGUAAAGCUCUGUUGACGGGGACGAACGUGCGAAGGGUGAAUAAUCCUUUGUAAUGACGGUACCUGUCGAGGAAGCCACGGCUAACUACGUG
rnacentral:rRNA from 1 species